CAGAGGGAGACAUCUGACCAUGGACACAGUAUUGCUGCUUGCCAGUAUUCUAUUGCAGGGAGAGGCUCCUCCGUGCUCCUGAGAGGCCGAACACAGGGUCGCCAGCACAGCUUACUGCUCGGUGUCUCCUGAGCCACAGAGGAAGACGUGGCAGGAGCACCUGGUGCUAAUAUAUAUUCAUGUCUAUGGCAAUGCCGACCAUCUGGCUGGUCUGAACCAGGAUAAAAGUGAAGAAUUCCUCUGUGAAGACCCAGCUCUUUCUUUGGCUCCUUUUUUGAAGCCAUCUUUGCUCUGCUCUCCUCUGCUGCCCAG
rnacentral:lncRNA from 1 species